AUGAUUCAACGCCGCGUGGGGGAUGAAGGUCUUCGGAUCGUAAACCCCUGUCGAACGGGACGAAAGACUGGGAGCUAAUCAUCCUGGGAGUGACGGUACCGUUAAAGGAAGCCACGGCUAACUCUGUGCCAGCAGCCGCGGUAAUACAGAGGUGGCAAGCGUUGUUCGGAAUUACUGGGCGUACAGGGCGCGUAUGCGGCCUUCUAAGUCAGACGUGAAAUCCCCCGGCUCAACCUGAGAACUGCGUCUGAUACUGGGGGGCUAGAGUAUGGGAGAGGGAUGUAGAAUUCCAGGUGUAGCGGUGAAAUGCGUAGAUAUCUGGAGGAAUACCGGUGGCGAAGGCGGCAUCCUGGACCAUUACUGACGCUGAGGCGCGAAAGCUAGGGGAGCAAACGGGAUUAGAUACCCCGGUAGUCCUAGCCCUAAACGAUGAACGCUUGGUGUGGCGGGUAUCGAUCCCUGCCGUGCCGAAGCUAACGCAUUAAGCAUUCCGCCUGAGGAGUACGGUCGCAAGGCUGAAACUCAAAGGAAUUGACGGUGGCCCAGACAAGCCGGUGGAGCAUGUGGUUCAAUUCGACGCAACGCGA
rnacentral:rRNA from 1 species